AUUGAACGCUGGCGGCAUGCCUUACACAUGCAAGUCGAACGGCAACGCGGGGGCAACCCUGGCGACGAGUGGCGAACGGGUGAGUAGCGCAUCGGAACGUGCCCAGUAGUGGGGGAUAGCCCGGCGAAAGCCGGAUUAAUACCGCAUACGACCUACGGGUGAAAGCGGGGGACCGCAAGGCCUCGCGCUAUUGGAGCGGCCGAUGCCCGAUUAGCUAGUUGGUGAGGUAAAGGCUCACCAAGGCGACGAACGGUAGCUGGUCUGAGAGGCCGACCAGCCACACUGGGGCUGGGACACGGCCCGGACUCCUGCGGGAGGCAGCAGUGGGGAAUUUUGGACAAUGGGGGAAACCCUGAUCCAGCCAUGCCGCGUGCGGGAAGAAGGCCUUCGGGUUGUAAACCGCUUUUGGCAGGAACGAAACGGCGCGCGCUAACACCGCGCGCUAAUGACGGUACCUGCAGAAUAAGCACCGGCUAACUACGUGCCAGCCGCCGCAGUAA
rnacentral:rRNA from 1 species